rnacentral:piRNA from 1 species
UUUGCUGUUCUCUGAGUUAUC